UGGGGAAUAUUGCACAAUGGGGGAAACCCUGAUGCAGCGACGCCGCGUGAGCGAAGAAGGUUUUCGAAUCGUAAAGCUCUGUCCUAUGAGAAGAUAAUGACGGUAUCAUAGGAGGAAGCCCCGGCUAAAUACGUGCCAGCAGCCGCGGUAAUACGUAGGGCGCAAGCGUUAUCCGGAAUUAUUGGGCGUAAAGAGCUUGUAGGCGGUUCGUCGCGUCUGGUGUGAAAGCCCAUCGCUUAACGGUGGGUUUGCGCCGGGUACGGGCGGGCUAGAGUGCAGUAGGGGAGACUGGAAUUCCCGGUGUAACGGUGGAAUGUGUAGAUAUCGGGAAGAACACCAAUGGCGAAGGCAGGUCUCUGGGCUGUUACUGACGCUGAGAAGCGAAAGCGUGGGGAGCGAACAGG
rnacentral:rRNA from 1 species